UACGGAGGGGGCCAGCGUUGUUCGGAAUUAUUGGGCGUAAAGGGCGCGUAGGCGGUCGAGUAAGUCUGACGUGAAAUCCCUUGGCUCAACCAAGGAACUGCGUCUUAAACUGCUCGGCUUGAGUCCGGGAGAGGGUAGUGGAAUUCCCAGUGUAGCGGUGAAAUGCGUAGAUAUUGGGAGGAACACCGGUGGCGAAGGCGGCUACCUGGACUGGUACUGACGCUGAGGCGCGAAAGCUAGGGUAGCAAACAGG
rnacentral:rRNA from 1 species